AUUUGGUAAUACGUGUUGUUGAAUAUAACAAAAAGUUUGAUUCCCCAUUUUCACUAGAAAACAAUCAAAGAUAUCAAUUGUUUGCUAGUACUUGUGGCAUUCUAGCAUUAUCAGAAGGCAUAUUUCCUGCUUUCUAUUAGCUCACUAAAAUUGAUUAGCAGAGAAAAUCCCACAAAAACCCAAUAAAUUCAGUUGGUAUAUUAUGGGAACUCAAAUAUCUUUUAAAUCUUGAGCUAUUUACUGCUUAAUGUUCCCAAUUGAGCAAUACUAUUGGCAUAGGGAUGCCCUCUACUCUGAGAAAUAUUGUAUUGAUUCAUGAAAGAAGAGAAUGCAUCAUUACAUUGAGGUUAAUCAUCACUUAAUCUGAUAAUCAAAAGUGCAUUAGGAUUUGAAUUUUCCUGAAGGGAGGUUUUUUGUGUCUGCCACAUAUGCAUUAGUAAAACUAUCAACUGCCUCUGUGCUUGAGGCAUUUAUUUGGAAACUACUAAUGCUCGGAGUUUGAAAUUUUG
rnacentral:misc_RNA from 1 species